AGGACCAGACAUGAGCAGAUAUUACUGGAUCUUGGACAAGUGGGUCUCUAAGGAACAUCAAAGACCCUGAGAAGCCAAAAGUUAUGAAAUGCAUCAGCAGUGGGUUGAAGACAAGACCUCUCCUUUUCCUGCUGACAUUUCUUCCAUGAGCAGUACCCAGACAGCCGACAGAAAGAGCCCAGGAGGUAACUUUGGGAACCUGGUGGAGCAUCCUGACAUUACAUCCUGAACCAGAGUAUGUCUCAAGAUAUUUUUGGAUCCUGCUUUUGUGGAGACAGAAUCCACAACACAGCAGAGAGUUCCUCACUCCAAGAGGUACAUUCUUCUUACUGUCUGGUUCACUCCCUAGACACAUGCCAGCUUGACCAUCAUACAGAGCAGCCCCCAGGAUGAAGGCAAACUUCUAUCUGGAGUCUGAUCUUUCCAAGAUAGGGCUGAAUCAACUUAGCUCUUUUUUCUUGUGGCUCAUUGCUGCUUUCCAGAUUGAGAAUAGCCUCAGAUUUCUUUCUGGCUUCCAUAUACCAUGCAUCCUAUUGCUUUGCUUAUACUCUUACCCCCCAAUGUCAAAAUAGUCCUGAAGUGUAUACCAGAUCAUGUCACACAUAUGCAGAACUGAUCAUGUCAGUUCAACCUUGGCUCCAAGAAUAAAGCUGUAAGUCCUAUAACCACAA
rnacentral:lncRNA from 1 species